GAAUUGCUAGUAAUCGUAGGUCAGCAUACUACGGUGAAUACGUUCCCGGGCCUUGUACACACCGCCCGUCAAACCAUGAGAGUUGGCAACACCCGAAGUCGGUAGUCUAACCGCAAGGAGGACGCCGCCGAAGGUGGGGGUUGAUGAUUAGGGUUAAGUCGUAACAAGGUAUC
rnacentral:rRNA from 1 species